rnacentral:rRNA from 1 species
GUGCACGCUGGCGGUAGGCCUAACCCCUGCAAGUCGCACGGCAGCACAGUAAGAGCUUGCUCUUACGGGUGGCGAGUGGCGGACGGGUGAGGAAUACAUCGGAAUCUACUUUUUCGUGGGGGAUGACGUAGGGAAACUUACGCUAAUACCGCAUACGACCUACGGGUGAAAGCAGGGGAUCUUCGGACCUUGCGCGAUUGAAUGAGCCGAUGUCGGAUUAGCUAGUUGGCGGGGUAAAGGCCCACCAAGGCGACGAUCCGUAGCUGGUCUGAGAGGAUGAUCAGCCACACUGGAACUGAGACACGGUCCAGACUCCUACGGGAGGCAGCAGUGGGGAAUAUUGGACAAUGGGCGCAAGCCUGAUCCAGCCAUACCGCGUGGGUGAAGAAGGCCUUCGGGUUGUAAAGCCCUUUUGUUGGGAAAGAAAAGCAGCAGGUUAAUACCCCGCUGUUCUGACGGUACCCAAAGAAUAAGCACCGGCUAACUUCGUG